GACGAACGCUGGCGGCGUGCCUAAUACAUGCAAGUAGAACGCUGAAGGAGGAGCUUGCUUCUCCGGAUGAGUUGCGAACGGGUGAGUAACGCGUAGGUAACCUGCCUGGUAGCGGGGGAUAACUAUUGGAAACGAUAGCUAAUACCGCAUAACAGUAGAUGUUGCAUGACAUUUGCUUAAAAGGUGCAAUUGCAUCACUACCAGAUGGACCUGCGUUGUAUUAGCUAGUUGGUGAGGUAACGGCUCACCAAGGCGACGAUACAUAGCCGACCUGAGAGGGUGAUCGGCCACACUGGGACUGAGACACGGCCCAGACUCCUAUGGGAGGCAGCAGUAGGGAAUCUUCGGCAAUGGACGGAAGUCUGACCGAGCAACGCCGCGUGAGUGAAGAAGGUUUUCGGAUCGUAAAGCUCUGUUGUAAGAGAAGAACGAGUGUGAGAGUGGAAAGUUCACACUGUGACGGUAUCUUACCAGAAAGGGACGGCUAACUACGUG
rnacentral:rRNA from 1 species